UACAGAGGUCUCAAGCGUUUGUUCGGAUUCAUUGGGCGUAAAGCGCACGUAGGCGGAUUGUUAAGUCAGGGGUGAAAUCCUGGAGCUCAACUCCAGAACUGCCUUUGAUACUGGCGAUCUCGAGUCCGGGAGAGGUGAGUGGAACUGCGAGUGUAGAGGUGAAAUUCGUAGAUAUUCGCAAGAACACCAGUGGCGAAGGCGACUUCUUGGCCUGUUCUUGACGCUGAGGCGCGAAAGCUGGGGGGAGCAAACGGGG
rnacentral:rRNA from 1 species